GAUGAACGCUAGCGGCAGGCCUAACACAUGCAAGUCGAGGGGGAGGUUACUUUCGGGUAACUGAGACCGGCGUACGGGCGCGUAACGCGUAUACAAUCUGCCUUUCACUGGGGGAUAGCCCGAAGAAAUUUGGAUUAAUACCCCAUAGUAUAGUAAUACGGCAUCGUGAUGCUAUUAAAGCUUAGGUGGUGAAAGAUGAGUAUGCGUUCUAUUAGCUAGUUGGAGAGGUAACGGCUCCCCAAGGCGAUGAUAGAUAGGGGUUCUGAGAGGGAUGUCCCCCACACUGGUACUGAGAUACGGACCAGACUCCUACGGGAGGCAGCAGUGAGGAAUAUUGGACAAUGGUCGGAAGACUGAUCCAGCCAUGCCGCGUGCAGGAUGAAGGUCUUAUGGAUUGUAAACUGCUUUUGUAAGGGAAGAAUAAGGGCUACGCGUAGUUUGAUGACGGUACCUUACGAAUAAGCAUCGGCUAACUCCGUG
rnacentral:rRNA from 1 species